rnacentral:rRNA from 1 species
AGACCCGAAACCCGGUGAUCUAGCCAUGGGCAGGUUGAAGGUUGGGUAACACUAACUGGAGGACCGAACCGACUAAUGUUGAAAAAUUAGCGGAUGACCUGUGGCUGGGGGUGAAAGGCCAAUCAAACCGGGAGAUAGCUGGUUCUCCCCGAAAGCUAUUUAGGUAGCGCCUCGUGAAUUCAUCUCCGGGGGUAGAGCACUGUUUCGGCUAGGGGGCCAUCCCGGCUUACCAACCCGAUGCAAACUGCGAAUACCGGAGAAUGUUAUCACGGGAGACACACGGCGGGUGCUAACGUCCGUCGUGAAGAGGGAAACAACCCAGACCGCCAGCUAAGGUCCCAAAGUCAUGGUUAAGUGGGAAACGAUGUGGGAAGGCCCAGACAGCCAGGAUGUUGGCUUAGAAGCAGCCAUCAUUUAAAGAAAGCGUAAUAGCUCACUGGUCGAGUCGGCCUGCGCGGAAGAUGUAACGGGGCUAAACCAUGCACCGAAGCUGCGGCAGCGACACUGUGUGUUGUUGGGUAGGGGAGCGUUCUGUAAGCCUGUGAAGGUGGCCUGUGAGGGUUGCUGGAGGUAUCAGAAGUGCGAAUGCUGACAUAAGUAACGAUAAAGCGGGUGAAAAGCCCGCUCGCCGGAAGACCAAGGGUUCCUGUCCAACGUUAAUCGGGGCAGGGUGAGUCGACCCCUAAGGCGAGGCCGAAAGGCGUAGUCGAUGGGAAACGGGUUAAUAUUCCCGUACUUGGUGUUACUGCGAAGGGGGGACGGAGAAGGCUAUGUUGGCCGGGCGACGGUUGUCCCGGUUUAAGCGUGUAGGUGUGUGUUCCAGGUAAAUCCGGUUCACUUUAACACUGAGGCGUGAUGACGAGGCACUACGGUGCUGAAGCAACAAAUGCCCUGCUUCCAGGAAAAGCCUCUAAGCAUCAGGUAACAUCAAAUCGUACCCCAAACCGACACAGGUGGUCAGGUAGAGAAUACCAAGGCGCUUGAGAGAACUCGGGUGAAGGAACUAGGCAAAAUGGUGCCGUAACUUCGGGAGAAGGCACGCUGACACGUAGGUGAAGUGAUUUACUCAUGGAGCUGAAGUCAGUCGAAGAUACCAGCUGGCUGCAACUGUUUAUUAAAAACACAGCACUGUGCAAACACGAAAGUGGACGUAUACGGUGUGACGCCUGCCCGGUGCCGGAAGGUUAAUUGAUGGGGUCAGCGCAAGCGAAGCUCCUGAUCGAAGCCCCGGUAAACGGCGGCCGUAACUAUAACGGUCCUAAGGUAGCGAAAUUCCUUGUCGGGUAAGUUCCGACCUGCACGAAUGGCGUAAUGAUGGCCAGGCUGUCUCCACCCGAGACUCAGUGAAAUUGAACUCGCUGUGAAGAUGCAGUGUACCCGCGGCAAGACGGAAAGACCCCGUGAACCUUUACUAUAGCUUGACACUGAACAUUGAGCCUUGAUGUGUAG